rnacentral:rRNA from 1 species
AGGGAACUGAAAGGACCGACCUUCGGGGAGCCUAUUACAGGUGUUGCAUGGCUGUCGUCAGCUCGUGUCGUGAGAUGUUCGGUUAAGUCCGCUAACGAGCGCAACCCUCGUCGUAUGUUAUAUGUGUCAUACGAGACUGCCGGUAAAAAGCCGGAGGAAGGUGAGGAUGAUGUCAAGUCAGCAUGACCUUUAUAUCCAGGGCUACACACACGCUACAAUGGUCUGUACAAUGGGUAGCCAAGCCGCGAGACGGAGCCAAUCCUGAAAGCAGGCCUCAGUUCAGAUUGCAGUCUGCAACUCGACUGCAUGAAGCCGGAGUUGCUAGUAACCGCAGGUCAGCAAUACUGCGGUGAAUACGUUCCCGGGUCUU